rnacentral:piRNA from 1 species
UAAAUGUCUCUGUGUGCUUCCUGUGCCCA